UUUUUAGCACUGGAACACGAUGCUCAUACACUGUGUUGUUAUCUUUCUUUCUUUUCGCCUGCUCCUUCCUCCAACUUGUGUCUUUGAGUAUUUCAGUCACAUGCUCAAACGUUCUUAAAUGCUCUCGCCAUCGGUUUACGCAUGCGUUGAAAACGGACAUGUGUUGACCAAAUUUAACAAUAUGCGGACAAUGGAUCGACUUCUUGAAGCCUGUGGACGUGAUACACCUUCUCCAUCACCAUCAAGAGAUCAACAUUUUCGAAGAUACUUGCGUACGGCUGUAUAGUGUCCGGCGCAAUGCUGAAUGCGACCUGUUAUCUGUUGGAUCUACUCUGUGAGCCAGAACCCCAGUGCAAUGGCACUGUUCGACUACAGCGCUGGACGUCGUCUACUUUUUGCUAGAAGCAAAUGUCAUCAUCCGUCCAUGAACUUCGGGCUGCUCACAACUAUAUUGCCUUGGCAAGUUCUUUGAGCACUUAAUA